rnacentral:rRNA from 1 species
CCUACGGGGGGCAGCAGUGGGGAAUAUUGGACAAUGGGGGGAACCCUGAUCCAGCCAUGCCGCGUGUGUGAAGAAGGCCCUCGGGUUGUAAAGCACUUUCAGUGAGGAAGAACGCCUGGUGGUUAAUACCCAUCAGGAAAGACAUCACUCACAGAAGAAGCACCGGCUAACUCCGUGCCAGCAGCCGCGGUAAUACGGAGGGUGCGAGCGUUAAUCGGAAUUACUGGGCGUAAAGCGCGCGUAGGUGGCUUGAUAAGCCGGUUGUGAAAGCCCCGGGCUCAACCUGGGAACGGCAUCCGGAACGGGAGAGGUAGAGGGGAGGAGAGGAAGGGGGAAGGCGCGGUGGAGCGGGGAAGUGCGUAGAGGUCGGGAGGGGGGGCAGUGGCGAAGGCGGGCUUGGGGAGUGACGGUGAGGGGGGGGUGGGAGGGGGGGGGGAGCAAGGAGGAUUAGAUAGGCUUGGAGGG